ACAACCCAAACCGUUAAAAUAUGGUGAGAGUAAACCCCUCGUAACAUAUUAGGGUUUAAGAUUUGGCGCCUUGAGCUGAAAUUUUGUACUUGGAGCUCGACCGAAUCAUGUGAUCGGGAAUCAGCGAGAGCCGAGGGAAAAUGGCAACAAUUGCUGCUUCAAGAAUCGGAUCGGUGAUACCUCGGCCAGUGACAAUUGUGACCGGCAACGCCAAGAAGCUUGAGGAAGUUCGAGCAAUCUUGGGGAGCGCUCUCUUCCUUUUUCGGUCUCUCAAGCUUGACUUUUCGGAGAUGCAAGGCGAACCGGAAGCUAUAUCGAAAGAGAAAGCUCGUUUGGCUGCUAUCUAGGGCCAUACAUGUAAGUUGCUACUUUAUCAAUUCCCCUGUUGAGGUGAAGUUUUGUUUAUUCUUAGCAUUUUGGUUGAAACAUUACGAUGAUGUCAUUGAUAGAUGGAUAUAUGUUCAAUAAAGUCUUAGAAGAAUUUAAUUGAAGGAUCCCUCUGAUUCUGAGGGAGAGAAGUGUAUUUCUUUGUCCAAGGAUGUUACAUGCUUGAAGAGAAGUAGGACUUGAUUUCCUUAAUUACCCAAACGAUAACUUUUGCCGCAUAAAAAUUGAUCUCUACUUCUUUUUCUGUAUCUCUUUAAUUUCAACAAAACUCAUUGAGAUCCAUCCACGAUUGUUUUCACAUGGAUCCCAAUUGAGUUUGCAUAAGAAGCAUACUUUAUGUCUUUAAUUCACUGAAACUCCUCUUAUUGGCAUAAAUACUGAGGUAGCACUCUGCUGGAUAGUUCUUUUUCCUUGGGGUGUAAUGUGGAAAAGCCGCCAUUUCUUAUUUGAGCAUCCCCGUUGGGAGGUAAUUUUUGCUAUAAAUCUUUUUUGGGAUCUAGUGAUGGAUAAAAGUCCGAAAGAAGAUUGUAAAGUGGAGUAGCUUAACUUUUUCGAAUGGUGGUCGGCUGGCGCUUGCUCAAUUGGUGAUUAAUAACCUCCCUUUUUAUUAUUUAUCCCUUUUUAAAUCUCCCAAGAGUGUUACUAAUAUGAUUGAAUGGAUGGUUAGGAACUUUUUUGUGGAAUGGGGGUUUAUCAAAGGGUUCUUGCAGCCAUCUCGUAAAUUGGGGGAAAACUUCCCUUACUUCUUCAUAAUGGUGGUUUCGGUGUUGGGGCGUUUUAACAGAAAACAGCCUGCUCCUCAAGUGGCUAUGGAGAUUUAACCAACAAGAGAAUGAUUUGUGGAAAAUGUUGGUUCCUAGUAUUUAUGGUAUUGGACUGGUUCGAAAUUGCAAAGA